CCUAGCCACAGCAAUUAGGCAAGAAAAAGAAGUAAAAGUAAUCCAAAUUUAAAGGAAGUAGUAAAAUGGUUGCUAUUUGCAAACGGAAACAGAGGA